rfam:Anolis carolinensis chromosome Tnknown cont2.39032, whole genome shotgun sequence.
AAAUAAAUAUGUCUGUCAUCGUAUUGCUCGCCAGGGUUGAUUUGGCUGAUCUGGCUGGCAAGACAGGUGUCCCCUUCCUCCCUCACUGCUCCGUGUGCAUCCCUCGCACAUCUGCAGACUCAAAGAAAGAGGACGAUUUCUCAAGUAUAGAAGGAGUGUACCGAGGUCUCAAUUCUUUGUUCCCGGAUAUUCGAUAGCCAAAAAGUCAGUAACAUUGACAAUACUGAAGUGUUGUAUUUGGUGCUUUUUGGAGGACAUAUUUUUUUCAAUUUCUUUUAUUGAUGACUUUUUAUAACAGACUUUUUAU